UCGUAAAGGUGCAUGAGUGGUGUUUGGUUUGUUACGGGUGGUUGGCUCUUUGCUUGCGCAACAACUUCCACCUGGCAUACCUCUUCAGUCGUAUUUCAAUGCUUGUUUUGCAUUGAAUUCACGAUGGGUUUCUUGUGUUGCAUACCUAAUUGAAGGUAUCAUUUGAUGAAUUGGUGUUGACUUUCGUCUUGUGUCGCACAUGCGAUGUGAGAUGAACCUUGAAGCAGCCUUUGUGAUCCACUCUUUUGAUGCACACGCAUUAAUCUUGUGGCCCAUUGAGUUUGCUCGGUCUCAUGGAUAUGGAACCUGGUGUGGGCAUGGGAUCUUCUUGUUCCUUGUUUGCCCUAGUUAAGCUUUUCAAAUACGAUGGCCUAUCAUGUGUUAAACGUGUUAGGUUUCUAUCGAAUAUGAAUG
rnacentral:misc_RNA from 1 species